AGGGAAUAUUGGACAAUGGGGGCAACCCUGAUCCAGGCAUGCCGCGUGUGUGAAGAAGGCCUUAGGGUUGUAAAGCACUUUAAGUGAGGAAGAAAAGAUUUAAAUUAAUACUUUAAGUCCCUGACAUUACUCACAGAAUAAGGACCGGCUAACUCCGUGCCAGCAGCCGCGGUAAUACGGAGGGUCCAAGCGUUAAUCGGAAUUACUGGGCGUAAAGCGCGCGUAGAUGGUUUAUUCAGUUGGGUGUGAAAUCCCUGGGCUCAACCUAGGAACUGCAUUCAAAACUUAUAAACUAGAGUACGAAAGAGGAGAGUAGAAUUCAUGGUGUAGCGGUGAAAUGCGUAGAGAUCAUGAGGAAUACCAGUGGCGAAGGCGACUCUCUGGUUCGAGACUGACAUUGAGGUGCGAAAGCGUGGGUAGCAAACAGG
rnacentral:rRNA from 1 species